rnacentral:rRNA from 1 species
AUCUUCCACAAUGGGCGAAAGCCUGAUGGAGCAACGCCGCGUGAAGGAAGAAGGCCCUCGGGUUGUAAACUUCUUUUAUUCGGGACGAAGAAGUGACGGUACCGAAUGAAUAAGCCACGGCUAACUACGUGCCAGCAGCCGCGGUAAUACGUAGGUGGCAAGCGUUAUCCGGAUUUACUGGGUGUAAAGGGCGUGUAGGCGGGACUGCAAGUCAGAUGUGAAAACCAUGGGCUCAACCCAUGGCCUGCAUUUGAAACUGUAGUUCUUGAGUGAUGGAGAGGCAGGCGGAAUUCCGUGUGUAGCGGUGAAAUGCGUAGAUAUACGGAGGAACACCAGUGGCGAAGGCGGCCUGCUGGACAUUAACUGACGCUGAGGCGCGAAAGCGUGGGUAGCAAA